GAUAAAUUUAACAAUACACACAGUGAUUCAAACAAUUUGAGAAAACCACAACAGGAAGAUAAAUGAAUGGUUAAAAUGGUACAAAAUACCAUGAAGCACUAAUGAAUGAAUGAAUUCUCAGGGUUUAUGAGUUUUAUCCUGACCUCUAUCCUGUCAUAAACCGUCUCGUUAGUGUUUCUGAGUGAGUGUACGGAGUCACCUCGCUAAUCUAAUCUCGGCUAAUCUCAGUUAGUUUGCUAAGCUAAUGCUAAUCUAAUCGAAAAACUAUGCUAGCAUGAAGCAUAAGAUGUAAACAUAAAUCAAAGAAAGUGAUGUAUAAAUCAUAUAAUGGGCUUUUUUAAAUAUAUAUAUAUAUAUAUAUAUAUAUAUAGUUUGGCUGCUAUCAUUUCUCGUUCGAAUUUAUUUCAGGCCACGCCCACGAGCGACAAACUACACGCGACGCCUCAGAGCUUGUGCGAAAGUAAGAUAAGAGUGCCAAUACUUUUGGAACCAGACGAAAAAAACAAACAAACAAAAAAAACUACGCAGACAUCAUAUAUGUCUAAACUGAAGAUAUUACUCACGGCAUGACGGGAUUUUAUAAAGUCCCUUUCUAUCCGUUUUGAAGGUAUUCGUUCUGUAACGACGGAUUCGAGCGCAUUUCUACACAGCAUCUGGGAACUGCUGAAUGUGUGAAGGUUUGUGCUCGCAUCAAUCUGUUUUAUCUGUGUGUGACUUGCAGUUAUAAGGUUUUAAAGCACUCUGGCUUAACAUUAGUCGGUUUAAUUUGCUAUAUAAAUAAAAUUGACUUCCUGGAACUCCGCCGAGACUCUACCGGGGUUCAGGAACGUGCGAUCAGGCGAAGAGACGCGGCGGUUCCAGAGCGAGUCGCUACCGUCUGCGGCGCUGUGAUUCGUCUGAUAUGUGCACGAUUAUCUCUCUCCUUCGCUACCGAAUAUCAGCCAGAGGGUGUAAUAUUCCUGUCACACACUGAUGCGUGGAAAUGACAGAUGAUGAUGGUAUUAAGAAAUAUUUUCCCAUACUGCUAGCUUUCAUACACUGACAGACAUAUUAGCAUCUGUUGCAUGAAUUCAACUGAAAAGUGACAUUUCCAUUAUUUAGUUAAAUAUACUGGAGCGAUUCCGUGAAAGAGAUAUAUUUCUCACGCAAAUAAAUCCGGUGCUCUUGUUUUUGGUCUGAUGGGGUUAAUUUAAUUACACUUGAAUUUGUUUUUAUUACAGUUUUCGUUUGAAAAUUGCGUCAUAAAGCCCAGCUCUGAGCAGCUCAAUAAGCGGCUGAACAAAAACAGCGAAGAACUUGACAGCGAUCACUUAUAUUUGAGAUUGUUUCAAAAUAUUUCCUUCAGUAAACAGCUGUGUAACCGCACUGGCAACAGUGAUGUCCCCCAUGACGCCAGCAGGACACGCGACCGGGAAUAAUGGAGCAACCGAUAAAGGAUCACCAGCGUGACUCGACACGUCCCGGCCUCGCUUUUCUCUCUCUCUCUCUUGAAGUUAAUAAGAAAAUAAAUAUGCAGCUUUCCACGUUACCAAGAAACUCCAAAAACCUAAAUUCCUCUGUCCUGAAGAUGUCCGUAUGCUCCUAAAAGGGUUCUACCUGGAGAACUAAGUGUUCUUACACCACUAAAAGGGUUCUACACGGAGGACUAAGGCUUCUUGUGCUCCUAAAAGGAUUCUACUUGGAGAUCUAGGUGUUCGUAUGCUCCUAAAAGGGUUCUACUUGGAGGCCUAAGGGUUCUUAUGCUCCUAAAGGGGUUCUACUUGGAGAUCUAGGUGGUCGUAUGCUCAUAAAAUGGUUCUACUUGAUGAUCUAAGUGUUCUUAUGCUCCUAAAAGGGUUCUACUUGGAGGCCUAAGGGUUCUUAUGCUCCUAAAAGGGUUCUACUUGGAGGCCUAAGGGUUCUUAUGCUCCUAAAAGGGUUCUACUUGGAGAUCUAGGUGGUCGUAUGCUCAUAAAAUGGUUCUACCCGUAGGACAAAGGGUUCUUAUGCUCCUAAAGGGGAUCUACUUGAUGAUCUAAGUGUUCUUAUGCUCCUAAAAGGGUUCUACUUGGAGGCCUAAGGGUUCUUAUGCUCCUAAAAGGGUUCUACUUGGAGAUCUAGGUGUUCUUAUGCUCCUAAAAGGGUUCUACUUGGAGAUCUAGUGUUCGUAUGCUCAUAAAAUGGUUCUACUCAUAGGACAAAGGGUUUUUAUGCUCCUAAAAGGGUUCUACUUGGAGAUCUAGGUGGUCGUACGCUCCUAAAAGGGUUCUACUUGAUGAACUAAGUGUUCUUAUGCUCCUAAAAGGGUGCUAAUUUGAGGACUAAGGGUUCUUAUGCUCCUAAAAGGGUUCUACUUGGACUGCUCAGGGUUCUUAUGCUCCUAAAAGGGUUCUACUUAAAGGACUAUGUGUUCUUAUGCUCCUGAAAGGGUUCUACUUGAAUGAGCUGUUACUACGGACUCAAAAAAAAAAAAAAACCCCUAAAUGUUUAAGAAGAGAAUGUUUCAGAAUUGCGUAAAGACGACGGACUUCCUGUUUGCUUCCUGUUUUUCUGGAGCAGAUCCUCUGUCCCGACCAAUCACACGCACUUAUGUCAGUCAUUUAGCUGAAGGCAUCCCCUCGAGAAUGCAAAGUGUUUUCACAGACGUUCUUAGAUUUAUUUACCUUCUCUAGCUGCGAUUAGUGAAGUGACAACAGGGCUUUCCCCCCAAAAGAUAAACGAGCGCGUUUAAAGACGACUGGACGUGUUUCGUAAGUGUUUAUUCUCAGCUUCAGUUUGAAAACACAGCGCUAGUAGAAAAUAAAAUAAAAUAAGAAAAAAAAAAGUUGUGAAGUGAAAAUAAUGCGUGGAAUUUAUAGCAACGAGUGGAGCGUUAAUAGUGUAGAAUUAAAAGCUUGUUGUUAUUUAUUCCUGUCGGAUGCAGGGAAAUUUCACGUAACUGGACCUUCACGACUUUUAAUCGAAUCUUUUUGGGUUUUUUUUUUUUUUUUUCAAACCAAUAACAUCAGAUCUUUCAGUCCUUCGUGGGGAGAAAAGAUCCGUUUUACUCAUUUACUUCCACCCCCCUUUACUGUUCCCCCUCUUUUCUCUAAAACUCCGUUGGUAGCAAUUCAUUAUGACUCAUCGAUACUCAGUUUCCAUUUUGAGCAGUGUAUAUUUCCCACCGCUGAUUCCGACAGCGCUCGCAUUAGAAAACAGAGACAUGUUGGCGGCAAAAAAAAACUUCAGAGUUCAUUUCGAAAAGGAAUGAUCAGGAGUCAAGCGUGGGCAGAAAUGACAAAGGACAGACUUGGAAAAGGACAAGCGAAGAUCGUGUCGAGGGUAAAAAAAAAUGGCAGCGUAAGCAAAAGACAUUCGCACACACUUCCACACGCACACACACACACACACACACACACGACCCUGAGUUCCUACAAGCAAGCGACAAGGUUGACACACUGCCGUCAUCACUCAUGUGCACAGUAGUAAAUAAAUCUCCUGCUCAGUCUUACAGUAUUAAGCUCUGAUUACAAAUGAAGCCAAAAUGUAAACAGUGUCAUUUACAAUCUAUCAUUUAUUUAUUGUAGAAUUCAUCAUUUGAGCUGCUAUCACAAAUGUGGCAAAACUCUCAAUAGUGUAACUUUAAAAAAACAACAAAAACAAAACACCGGUACGUCUUUAUUGGAACAGACUAACUCUAAGGCUGAUAUUUUAUUAUUUCAUAUAUAAAAGAUGAGUGACGUCGCGUUCAAAUAAAAACGGAUCCGACUCGAAGAAGACGGACAAAGAAACGGAGACAGAAAGUAAAAUCCUGAAUCGAUGCUACUGAAAGAGAGCCGGUGGCGAAGAGAGCCGAGAAAGAGGCGUUUAGCUCGUCACAGGAGAACAUGUGGUAUAAGUGAGUGUGAGGUCCGAGAAAAAGAUCAGCAUGAGCAAAAAAAUAAAUAAAGCGAUCGAUCAAAAACAAACACCCCGCCCCCAAAUUAUAGAUUUUAUUUAAUAAAUUACUUCAUUCAUUAAUUUGUUUGAAUAUUACUUCAAUGUGAAAAAAAAAUUAAAUAAUAAAAUCUUACACUAGGUAAAAAAAAAACAAAAAAAAACGAAACAAUACUUUUUAUUUGAUUUGAUUUUUAAUAUAAUUUUUUCCUAGUUUAUUUUUGGUAUCGUGUAUUGUUAAUUGUGUAUAUCAAAAAUGUGGCCAAAAAGGGAAAAAAAAAAAAAAAAAUCGUACCGAAAGUUUUUGCAGCAACAAUAAAAAAAAAAAAAAAAAAAAAAGGAAAAACAAGAAUACAAAAAUAAAUAAAUAAAUAAAAUAAAAAAAUCCUAGUGUAGUUUUGGUGUCAUGUGACAAAAAAAAACCUACAUACGUUUUUAUCGUAUUAUUCUUUUAAAUUCUUUUAUUUUCAUAUAAAACACUUCCUAGUUUAGUUUUGGUAUCGGGUAUUGUUUAAAACUACAUUUAAAAAACACAACAACAAAAACUAAUACUGAAGGUUUUUACAACAAAACAAAAAAGGAAAAAAUUAAAAAUCCUACAGUAGUUUUGUUGUCAUGUGAGGAGAAAAAAACAACAACCUACAAACAAUUUUGUCACAUUGUAACGCUGCAAUAGUAGAAAAUCUUUGACUAAAAUGAUACCAAAUAUAUUAAUUUUUUUGUUAAGGAAAAAAAAAAAAAACUUACUAAAAAAAUACUAAAAAUGUUUUUCCUAUUACAGUUUUGAUAUCAAAGCCAAGAUGAUUGUAAUGUAUUACGACGACCCUAAUAACCCUCUUACUUAUGUGUUUAAAAUAUAUAUUAACAGUUUGAUCUAUUUGUUUAAAACAGAUUCGUUAUAUUUAAAGGGAUAGUUCACCCCAAAAUCGUCAGUUACUCCGCCUCACGUCGUUCCAAACCCGUGAGACUUUCGUUCGUCGUCGGAAAACGCAAACGAAGACGUUUUUUAAUGAAACCUGGGAGUUUUCUGUCCCUCUGUUUACGAUCCAUGUAACUUUCAAGCUCCAAAAAGUUCAUAAAGGCAUCGUAGAAGGAAUCCACGUGACCCCGGUGGUUUAAUCCCAGUUUUCUGAAGCGAUACGAAUGUUUCGUGUGUACAAAAAAAAAAAAAAAAAAAAAUCCCAACUAAAAUUAAAAUAUCUUUAUUCGCAUAGAAUAUCUUCACUUCUGCGUAGACGUACGAGGGCGAGUAACUGACGACAGAACUCUCAUUUUUGGGUGAACUAUCCCUUUAAAUUUGUCUUCCACUGCUCUUUGUUGAAAACCUAAACUCAGGCCUGGGGUAUUCACGAGGUAUUUAAUUUGCAUGAAUUUAAUAGUAGUAAAUACUUAAAUGAACGGAUGAAUUUUAGAAUAAACUUAAAGGAAACGAUGUCGCUUUGUCGCUUGCUAAUGUGAACGCAGGGUGAAAUGUUAUACCGUGUAAAGAAGCCAAGAAACCAACAUUAAAGUUCGUACAACGAUGUUGACAUCCGAAUGUCAUGCACACGUCUUUGUCCCAUAAGUAAGUAUGUACACACACACACACACACACACACACACACAUGUUGGUUUGCAGUCAGUGUGAAGUGUUCGAGACCCUCUGUUUUCAUGCUGAGGUUGUAAACAGGACUGCAUGUUCAACCGACGAGAAAUCCGAGACGAGGGUCACCACAAGGUCGUCAUCGUUCUCAUACACGGGGUUGUUAAAUAGCACGGAAUAAGGUCCGAGUUGGAAAAAACGACGUGAAUAGAAUCCCUUCUUUUUACUCGGAUGAUGAAGACGACGAACAUGAAGAAGAUAAAGGAUUCCUGACUCGCCCGUCGCUCGUUAGUUUAGCAUUAGAUACCAAAUUGUUUAUUCCUGCCGGAUAAAGAUGGACGAGAACGAAAUGCACAAAAGGCACCACCGAAGCCUUCCACGUCCACGUCCAGGUCCACGUCCACGUCCACACCGUCGUUCACGAGUCCAUUUCACAAAGCUGUAGUGGAGAAGCUCCUACAAAAUGGCAGGCGAUUAAAAGAAACCGUGUUUUUUGUUUGUUCGUUUUAUUUGCAAAAAAAAAUCCGUCUCGAGCAUUAUAAUACAAAAUGCUUUCACAGCAAGGGAUUCUGGGAAACGAUAAUUAGCUCGCUCGCCUCCUCCGAUACACUCCUACGAUCCGGACGAAAGGAAAUGGCCGAAGUGUGACGCGAUGCGAUGGGAAUUCUUUACAGGAACCCUGUUGCGGUUGAUAAAGUGGACAUAGGAGUCCGGCUAGUGAAUUGUGGGAAUGUCUCCGAUCCAGGCUCGAGGCAGCGGUCUGGGACACACGUAUUCA
ensembl:lncRNA